rnacentral:piRNA from 1 species
UAAUUGCAAUUGGGUUUGAUUCACCAGAG